rnacentral:snRNA from 1 species
GCUCACUUCGGCAGCACAUAUACAGACAAGAUUAGCACGGUCCCUGCACAAGGAUGACAUGCAAAUUCGUGGGGCAUUCCAUACUUUU